rnacentral:ncRNA from 1 species
AGCUGGUUCCCUCCGAAGUUUCCCUCAGGAUAGCUGGAGCCCAUUACGAGUUCUAUCAGGUAAAGCCAAUGAUUAGAGGCAUUGGGGACGCAACGUCCCACACCUAUUCUCAAACUUUAAAUAGGUAGGAUGGCUCGGCUGCUUCGGUGAGCCGUGCCACGGAAUCGGGUGCUCCAAGUGGGCCAUUUUUGGUAAGCAGAACUGGCGAUGCGGGAUGAACCGGAAGCCGGGUUACG